UACGUAUGGUGCGAACGUUGUUCGGAAUCACUGGGCCUAAAGAGCGCGUAGGCGGCCAGGUAAGUCAGGUGUGAAAUCCCCCGGCUCAACCGGGGAAUUGCACUUGAUACUGUCUGGCUAGAGUGCAGGAGGAGAGAGUGGAAUUCCUGGUGGAGCGGUGAAAUGCGUAGAUAUCAGGAGGAACGCCGGUGGCGAAAGCGGCUCUCUGGUCUGUUACUGACGCUGAGGCGCGAAAGCUAGGGGAGCAAACGGG
rnacentral:rRNA from 1 species